UACGUAGGGUGCGAGCGUUGCCCGGAUUUAUUGGGCGUAAAGGGCGCGUAGGCGGCUCGGCACGUCCGUUGUGAAAUCGCUCGGCUCAACUGGGCGAGGUCAGCGGAUACGGUCGAGCUUGAGCCAGCUAGGGGGCAAUGGAAUUCCCGGUGUAGUGGUGGAAUGCGCAGAUAUCAGGAGGAACACCGGUGGCGAAGGCGGGUCUCUGGGCAGUAACUGACGCUGAGGAGCGAAAGCGUGGGGAGCGAACAGG
rnacentral:rRNA from 1 species